GACCUGGCUGCGGUUGGAAACGAGUCCAGUUCACCUGAGGCGUUUGGUUUCCUCCCCGCAGGAACAGAGUGGAGCGUCUGAGGGAAGGAACCGGGAUCCUGGCGCCGGAGGUGGAGGUCAGCUACGAGCCCAGAGCUCCGCUGGGCGUGGACAUCACAGCCGAGGUGAGGGACGCCGCCAUCAGGCCACCGCCCAUCCGGAUCAAGCUCCCAGCCUGACCGGCAGAACUCCCUCUAUCCAAACUGUGCAGAUAUGACAUGUUUAUUUAUUAAUAAAGUAUUUUAAUAUGAA